rnacentral:lncRNA from 1 species
CCACUUGAUAAGAUCAUAUAUUGUUUUUACAUGAUUGGCAUGAAAAUUGAUUAGUCAAUCUUUGUUCAACAUGUAGCAAGUCUACUAUGUUAGAAAAUACAAGCCAAGGUGGAGAUUUGUUAAGAAGUCUUAAUUUUCAAGAAAUUAGCAACGGUCGAUUUUUUCUAUGGUCCUAGAUACUCGAUGCUUGAAUUUUAGGUUCAAACAUCAAGGUCGAAACAAUCCAAUGCUUGAGUCAAGCAUUUUGAAUAGAAGAUUAAUCUUUGACAAGUUUGAAUGUUUAGA